rnacentral:rRNA from 1 species
GAUGAACGCUGGCGGCGUGCCUAAUACAUGCAAGUCGAGCGAACAGAUAAGGAGCUUGCUCCUUUGACGUUAGCGGCGGACGGGUGAGUAACACGUGGGUAACCUACCUAUAAGACUGGAAUAACUCCGGGAAACCGGGGCUAAUGCCGGAUAACAUUUAGAACCGCAUGGUUCUAUAGUGAAAGAUGGUUUUGCUAUCACUUAUAGAUGGACCCGCGCCGUAUUAGCUAGUUGGUAAGGUAACGGCUUACCAAGGCAACGAUACGUAGCCGACCUGAGAGGGUGGUCGGCGACACUGGAACUGAGACACGGUCAAGACUCCUACGGGAGGCAGCAGUAGGGAAUCUUCCGCAAUGGGCGAAAGCCUGACGGAGCAACGCCGCGUGAGUGAUGAAGGUCUUCGGAUCGUAAAACUCUGUUAUGAGGGAAGAACAAAUGUGUAAGUAACUGUGCACGUCUUGACGGUACCUAAUCAGAAAGCCACGGCUAACUACGUG